rnacentral:pre_miRNA from 1 species
GGGGGGAGGCCGGAUCCUGGGCUGUGUCCCGGCGCCCUGUGCUCCCGGCCUGCGCUGUUGGAUUCGCGCUCCCGCCCCGCAGCCCGCU